CACCCCCGAAUCCGUGUGGGGAUGGGGGUGGUACAACCCAAAAACACCCCCAGAUCUGUGUGGGGAUGGGGGUGGUACAACCCAAAAAACACCCCCAGAUCUGUGUGGGGACGGGGGUGGUACAACCCCAAAAUCACCACAUGGAUACAGGGUCAGGGUUGUUGUCACCCCCAAACCCCUCAGGCCAUGGGGGUGACCCCCGGAUCCAUGUGGGGACAGGGUUGUUGUCACACCCCAAAAACUCCUCGUGGAUAUGGGGUUGGGGUUGUCACCUCUUGAACCCUGAAAUUGUGGUGGGGUCGGAGUUGUUGUCACCCCCAAACCGCACAGGCCAUGGGGGUGACCCCAAAAUUGAUUUGGGGAUGCUGUGGUUGUCACCCCCAAACCCCCACAUGGAUACGGGGUCAGGAUUGUUGUCACCCCAAAAACUCCCACAUGGAUAUGGAGUUGGGGGUGUCAACCCCAAGCCCCCAAAUUCUGAUGGGGACAGGGUUGUUGUCACCCCCAAACCCCCACAUGGAUAUGGGAUCGGGGUUGUUGUCACCCCAAAACCCAAAAUUCUGAUGGAGUCGGUGUUGUUGUCACCCCCAAACCCCACAGGCCGUGGGGGUGACCCCAAAAUUGAUUUGAGGACGGGGUUGUUGUCACCCAAAACCCCCACAUGGAUUUGGGGUCGGGGGUGUCACCCCCAAAACCCAAAAACCCAAAAUUGGCUGUGGGGGUGACGCACGAAUUUCCAUGAGAAAAGGGCUGUCACCCCAAAAAAACCUCUACAGGUUGUGGGGGUGACCCCAAUAUCCAACGGUGGCGGGAUUGUCACCCCCAGAUGGAAAUGGGGUUGGGGUUGUCACCCUCAAAUCCUGAAAUUCCAGUGUGGACAGAGCCGUUGUCACCCCCCAUUGUCACCCGGACUGUUGGGGUGACUCUGGAAUUGAGGUGACACCAAAGGGUGGUGGUGGCCAAAUUUGAGGUCACCCCCAAAGUUGGAAACACCCUCAGGUUUGAGGGGGAACCCCUGAAUUGAACUUUUUGGGGACCCCAAAGUUCACAGGGGGCAACCCCCAAACUGAGGGGGACCCCUAAGCUGGGGAGGACCCCAAAAUUGGGGAGAA
ensembl:lncRNA